UUGCAUGGCUGUCGUCAGCUCGUGCCGUGAGGUGUUAGGUUAAGUCCUGUAACGAGCGCAACCCCUGCCGUUAGUUACAUGUGUCUAACGGGACUGCCCGGCUCAACUGGGAGGAAGGUGGGGACGACGUCAAGUCAGCAUGGCCUUUAUAUCCUGGGCUACACACACGCUACAAUGGUCGGUACAAUGGGUCGCCAAGCCGCGAGGCGGAGCCAAUCCUCCAAAACCGGCCUCAGUUCAGAUUGUAGGCUGCAACUCGCCUGCAUGAAGUUGGAGUUGCUAGUAACCGCGCGUCAGCUAUAGUGCGGUGAAUACGUUCCCGGGGCUU
rnacentral:rRNA from 1 species